rnacentral:rRNA from 1 species
AGAUGCGAUCAUACCAGCACUAAAGCACCGGAUCCCAUCAGAACUCCGAAGUUAAGCGUGCUUGGGCGAGAGUAGUACUAGGAUGGGUGACCUCCUGGGAAGUCCUCAUGUUGCAUUCC